rnacentral:rRNA from 1 species
GACGAACGCUGGCGGCGUGCCUAAUACAUGCAAGUCAAGCGGAUUGAUGGGAGCUUGCUCCCUGAUAUCAGCGGCGGACGGGUGAGUAACACGUGGGCAACCUGCCUAUAAGACUGGGAUAACUUCGGGAAACCGGAGCUAAUACCGGAUAAUCCCUUUCCUCUCAUGAGGAAAGGCUGAAAGAUGGUUUACGCUAUCACUUAUAGAUGGGCCCGCGGCGCAUUAGCUAGUUGGUGAGGUAACGGCUCACCAAGGCAACGAUGCGUAGCCGACCUGAGAGGGUGAUCGGCCACACUUGGACGGAGACACGGCCCAGACUCCUACGGGAGGCAGCAGUAGGGAAUCGUCCGCAAUGGGCGAAAGUCUGACGGAGCAACGCCGCGUGAGUGAUGAAGGUUUUCGGAUCGUAAAACUCUGUUGUUAGGGAAGAACAAGUACGAGAGUAACUGCUCGUACCUUGACGGUACCUAACCAGAAAGCCACGGCUAACUACGUGCCAGCCGCCGCCGUAA